AGUAUUUUGACUAUACAAAGGUAUUGUAAUAAGAUUUUAAUUGAAUGCUAAAAGAAUGGAAAUUUAAAAAAAAACUUUUUUAAAAAUAAAAAUUGAAUUUUUUUUAAUUUGUGCAAAAACAAUUAUACUUAUUAAAGACAAGAAGACCCUAAGAAUUUAAGAUUUUACAAUUAAAAAGUUUUUUUUUUAAAAUCUUGAUUGGGGCGAUCAAAAAAUAUUAAUAACUUUUUAAAAUUUAAAUUGAUCUAUUAUUAAUAAACUAAUGAAUUAAAUACUCUAGGGAUAACAGCGUAAUAAUUUUUGAUAGAUCUUAUUGACAAAAUAGUUUGCGACCUCGAUGUUGGAUUAGGAUUCUUUUUUAAUGAAGAAGUUAAAAAAAGAAGUUUGUUCAACUUUUAAAUUCCU
rnacentral:rRNA from 1 species